rnacentral:rRNA from 1 species
GACAGAGGGUGCAAACGUUGUUCGGAAUUACUGGGCGUAAAGCGCGUGUAGGCUGUUCGGAAAGUCGGAUGUGAAAGCCCUCGGCUCAACCGAGGAAUUGCGCUCCAAACUACCGUGCUUGAGUGAGACAGAGGUAAGCGGAACUUCGGGUGGAACGGUGAAAUGUGUUGAUAUCCGAAGGAACACCGGUGGCGAAAGCGGCUUACUGGGUCUCAACUGACGCUGAUGCACGAAAGCCAGGGUAGCAAACGGG